UACGUAGGGGGCAAGCGUUGUUCGGAAUUACUGGGCGUAAAGGGCGCGUAGGCGGCACGGCAAGUCAGGAGUGAAAGCCCUGGGCUCAACCCGGGAACUGCUCUUGAAACUGCCGAGCUAGAGUGCGGAAGGGGCAACUGGAAUUCCCAGUGUAGCGGUGAAAUGCGUAGAUAUUGGGAAGAACACCUGAGGCGAAGGCGGGUUGCUGGGCCGACACUGACGCUGAGGCGCGAAAGCCAGGGGAGCGAACGGG
rnacentral:rRNA from 1 species